AUGUUGAAUAAUAAUUUUAGUGAUUUGUUACAUUAUAAAAUGAUAAGGUUUUGCAUUGGUUUAUACUCACCUAUCUCUCGAGUUCUUGUUGAGUUUGUUGUGAAUGAAGCUUUUGAUAAAAAGAGAAACCAUGACAUGAGAGGAAUUAAGGAGACACAAAAGUUCAAGCUUGGGGAUGCCCAAGGCACCCCAAGACGAUAUUUCAAUAAGUCUCAAGCAUCUAAGCUUGGGGAUGCCCCGGUAGGCAUCCCACCUUUCUUCUUCAACAACUAUCGGUUAGUAUCGGUUGAGCCUAAGUUUUUGCUUCUUCACAUGAGUUGUGCUAUCCUUGCAAUGUAG
rnacentral:rRNA from 1 species